UGCAGAGUUGAUGACUCUGGGCGUAAAUCAACGACCCUGUAACGAUCUAACUAUUCUAAGGUUGUAAGAUAGAUCGAUACCAAGCAGCAUAUCUCCUUCCUUGACCUUCUGGUGUGCUGCGCUGAUAACCGUGAAGAGUUUACGGCUACUGAAUCGUGAUGGCUGUGUUGUUCGUGAAAGCCGACCAGAAAGUUUGGCAGAAGCAUGGGGAAGCUGUCAAGCUGACAGAAGAAACGUUCGUGCAUCAUUCUGCCCGGCGACCAGUUCCGAAAGUCGCUGCACAAGACAUGAACAGUGUGCGCUGUGUGAGCGGGUGGUUGUGACACAAGGAGUCGCGGUGGUGGCAAAAGGAAGGUGAAAUGCAGUCGCCAGCUGUAUGAAGGGUCACUGCUAAAUGUCACAAGCUUGCGAAGAUGACAGGUGCGCCUGUCUUUUGUCAGUGACAUUUCUCAACAUAGCUGGCCAGGUGCCAACCCUAUGAAAGAAAGCAGUCGAAACCUAAGCAGUUGGACUUAUCUGGCGCCAGUCUUGAUCUGGCCCAUUCAGAUCUUAUCCGCUAUCGUUGCUAUAAGAGAACAUUAUUUUGUGGGUGCACAUCCAGUGCAUUUGCAGAUUUGCGUGCUCCUCUUGCGACCGCAUACACUUGGUACAUGGUGUGUGUGUGCGUGCGCAUGCGGUGAGCACACACGGGUGAGCGGAUUCAAUAUUGUGUUGGUGUGUGCAUGCGGGCGAGUAUAUUCACAUGCUGAUGCUGGUUCUACACAUAUCAUUGUGUUGCGAGUGGGCAG